UACGAAGGGGGCUAGCGUUGUUCGGAAUUACUGGGCGUAAAGCGCACGUAGGCGGAUCGAUAAGUAAGAGGUGAAAUCCCAGAGCUCAACUCUGGAACUGCCUUUUAAACUGUCGAUCUGGAGCAGAGUAGAGGUGAGUGGAAUUCCGAGUGUAGAGGUGAAAUUCGUAGAUAUUCGGAGGAACACCAGUGGCGAAGGCGGCUCACUGGACUCUUGCUGACGCUGAGGUGCGAAAGCGUGGGGAGCAAACAGGAUUAGAAACCCUGGUAGUCC
rnacentral:rRNA from 1 species